CAUUGUAUAAAAUAGCAAGACACCCACUCUCAUUAGACAGAGCUGUAAAACAAACAGGCAAGAACGUUGUUUCCUUUCAUCUUCAGAAAUGCAAGCUGGCAAGCUCUCCUGGGGUGUGAUUAACAGUUUCUCAGCUGGGGGUACUUACAAAUGAAAUUAUUUCUUUUGCUAUUAACCUUUGACGACAUCAGUAAUUCCCACAUCUAGGAGACAGCAAUGCCUGGUAAUGGACAUGGAGGAGGAACGCGCACUGACUCACGCUGCAAACAGCCACACCAAAACACAGACUUUUAGAUGGGUUUAGCUUCCAAGUCAGCUGCUAAGCAAACACCAAGUUUUCAAUAGCACUCAGAAGCUCAGGGCUCCCACAGUGAUGCUAUGAGGAGAUUUUCAGAAACAUUCAGGCACCAGCUCCUCUGAAAAAACCUACUUAUUGCUUUAGGUGCUGGAAGCAGCUGCAGUCUUCUAAUGAGCUGCCCCCUCACAGACUUUUCUCAGCCUCAGGGAACAGUGGCUCAGAGGCACUGCCUUGCUCUGCCAUUCCUCUGCCAUUAUUUUCACUUACCCCUUCCCUCACAAGCUCGCGCUGCCUGCGUUUUACUGCUGUCACAGCUCCUUCCUAUCUCAGCGUUAAGUACUCCUUUCCCUAACAACACAGAAGCCCGCUAGACAUUGAGAAACACGGUUGUACAAGCAUCAAGGACAGACGCCAAUUAAAGAGUUUUUGGAUAAUUAAAAGAUUGGAAAAUAACAGGCAUUUGGCACAGCAGCUUCAUUAAAUCACUGGGGUGAGGCUGACCCAGCCUGCUGAUCUGGCUCUCUAGCUUUACCCUGGUUGCUCUUCUGAAAACUGAGUGUGAUAUGGAUCUGCUACCAGUCAGUGGCGAGAUUGAAGUAGCACAAUUUUUUUUCUGAGGCUUUUGCAUCACAGUCUUUGUUUUCCUCUUCAAAGAAAGAACUGCACAAGGAGCACAACCUUUGCUGGCUGGAUUAUCCCUUGGUGGAGUUAAUCUCAUACACUGCAGUACCAGACCUGCAGUUUCAUAACAGCAUCGCUCCACAAACAGAUUGUGUUGGAACAUGCUGGUUUGCAGAAAUGCCCACUUGCCACCAGAAGGAGAUCCUCAGCUGGGCACUACCUCACAAAGUGCUUCAGAGAUUAAGGCAUGUGCCUUGAUUCCCUCAGAGGACCUCCUGGCCUCGGCAGGCUCUGGCAUUUGAACAGCCAUUUGCUACUGCUUUACUCUUGUUGCUGUAGUCUACAUAGAUUGCAUUCUACAUAGACCUACAAGAUCUCUGCGGCCUUCAGAAUUUCCUCCUUUUCUGAUUUUCAGCAUGCUGCAAGAUCCUCUCCCUAAGCCUCUUGCUAAGCAGAAUAGACAACUAAAUUUUGCAAUUGAGUCUCAUACUGCAGAUGAAACUGUCAAGUGACAUCCUAAAAGGAUUCAAAUUAAUGGAUAAUGCAUUUUAUUAAAUUAGCAGCCCAAAUCUGCAUACCAGCAAAAGCUCCUCGUUUCUGAUUACCUCUGGGAACAAAGAAGACUAGAGCACGCUUAUACAUAGUGGCAGUGGGCUUAGAAUACAUUACCUUCUUUCCUAGAUAAAUAUUAAUUAACCAUGUAGAAGAACCAUAUUCUUAGUAAGAAUAAAUCUGUACUUCCC
ensembl:lncRNA